AAGAGCAGCAAGAAGGGAAGCUGCAAGUAGGUCAGAUGCAUCACAGAAGAAAAAAUAAUUUUGAUGAUUAAUAGAGAUUAAAGAAGGCAAAAGCAAACAAUCAGAAGAAUGCCAUUUAUCUAGCAUUUAAACAAGAGCCUUUCUAAAAAAGCAGGGUUUCCAUGCCUGAAGAAGAAGAGGAUUUCCCACAUUGCAGGUUCAGCAUGAGAAGAAAAAAUUUUGCCAACUUCAUUGCAGCCAAACUGCAGCCCUAAUGUAACAAUCUGACGGAGACACAAACAAGGAAGGAUGAGGAAGACAAGACACUGAGUUACAGCAAUAAAAUGGAGGAUGGAUGCAUGUUCAAGGACUUCUUGGAAAUGUUGUGUGAAGGCGGUAAUGGAUCAUUCACUCAGCCAGUCCACAGAGAAGUUGGGAGGGGAGAAUGUCUGACAGAAAUCUCCUCUUUGGGACCCUUCCAGUCUUCCCGGCGGCUGCUCGUCCCGUUUCUUGAUGUUGGUGUGUAACAUGGACUAGUCCAGCGUUCAUAGCAGCUGGCUGAGAAGAAAGAACAAGGACAGCUGGUUAAAAGGCACAGGAAUCAUGAAGUCUGGGUUGUCUCCUGGCUUAACCACUGGGACCCUGAGCAAGUCACUUCUGCUUUUGAGGCAUCAGUCUGAAAGAAGGCGCCCUGUCCCUGGGGGGUGCUGGGAAGUUUGAAGCUCUUUGAGAUCCUUGGCUAAAAUGUUGAUCGCACUUCUGUGACUGCAGUGAUGUGAGGUGAACUAGUCAGGGCCAAUAAGUUGCUGGAUGAUAUUAGCCUUUGAGCGAUUUGUGAAUGAUCUGCCAAAAGAGUUUGAUUUUCCCCAGUGAAAUGCACGUUUCCAAUGAUUCAGUAGCUUUCUGGUCUGCUUGAGACUUGCUUAGUUCAGGGCCAGAUAGAGGGAAGGAGGCAAAACUGGCAUGAUAUGAGUCUUUGACUGCUCAAAUCUGCUACGCUGUACAAAACUCAAAAUUAGUCAUUUAGGAAAUAGCUGGAGCUGUCGUUUAAAAGCCAAGCCAGCAGAGUGAGCUGUGGCUCCAUCCUCCAGCAACUGCUAAAGCACUGGGCACUGCCGG
rnacentral:lncRNA from 1 species